AAUGAACGCUGGCGGCAUGCCUAACACAUGCAAGUCGAACGAAGGCUUCGGCCUUAGUGGCGCACGGGUGCGUAACGCGUGGGAAUCUGCCCUUGGGUUCGGAAUAAACUCAGAGAAAUUUGAGCUAAUACCGGAUGAUGACGUAAGUCCAAAGAUUUAUCGCCCAAGGAUGAGCCCGCGUAGGAUUAGCUUGUUGGUGAGGUAAAAGCUCACCAAGGCGACGAUCCUUAGCUGGUCUGAGAGGAUGAUCAGCCACACUGGGACUGAGACACGGCCCAGACUCCUACGGGAGGCAGCAGUGGGGAAUAUUGGACAAUGGGCGAAAGCCUGAUCCAGCAAUGCCGCGUGAGUGAUGAAGGCCUUAGGGUUGUAAAGCUCUUUUACCCGGGUAAGAUAAUGACCGUACCGGGAGAAUAAGCCCGGCUAACUCCGUGCCAGCAGCCGC
rnacentral:rRNA from 1 species